AGUCAUGCCAAAUGCCAUCAUGAAGGCCAAAAGUGAACGGAGAAGACCGUUUAUUGCUGACCAAAUUGAAGACUGUAGAGAUGCUUCUGGGCUGUUCUACAUAUUGCCUUUCCAGAAAGUUCUCAACAUUCCUUGUGAUGAUAAAGACACUAAUUCACUGCAGGGUUACUUAGUCAACUGGGACAUACAGAAGACUGUUUGGGACUAUGUGUUUGGCAAAGAUGUGUUCAAUGUUAAUCACUCCAACACCACCAUGAUUGUCACCGAGCCAUACCUGAACUUCACCAGCACUCAAGAGGCACUGAGUGAAAUAUUCUUUGAAGAAUAUGAGGUUGAUGCCUUACUAAGGAUAAAUGCUGGAGACCUGUCAGUACACAAAUAUCACCGUGACAGGCCAAGAGAGCUGUGUUGUCUGCUAGUGGAGUCUGGCUUCAGCUUCACCCAUAUUGUUCCCUACAUUCAAGGCAAAAAACAGAAAGAUGCCAUUUUGAGAGUAGAUAUUGGGGGCAAAGUCCUUACUAAUCAUUUAAAGGAGUUGAUAUCGUACAGGCAACUUAAUGUUAUGGAUGAAACGUAUGUAAUUAAUCAGGUGAAGGAAGAUGCUUGUUUUGUGUCACUGGACUACAAUGCUGACAUGAGAACAGCUCGGGAUGGGAAGCAAGCAAACCAUAUUUUGAGAGAUUAUGUGCUGCCAGACUUCACGACUAUAAAGAGAGGCUAUGUCAGGCCUCUGGAGGAGUCCACUGGAAAAUCUACUGCUGGUGAACAGCUGAUCCGUCUCAACAAUGAACGUUUUGCAAUACCUGAACUCUUAUUCCAUCCUAGUGAUGUUGGGAUACAGGAGAUGGGUAUCACUGAGGCUAUUGUUCACUCAAUAAACAAGUGCCCUGAGGAAACAAGACCACAUUUGUAUAGAAAUAUCUUGCUCACUGGAGGAAAUUGUAAUUUCCCAAUGUUUAAAGACAGAGUCUUUAAAGAUGUUCAGUCUAUGGCACCAGAUGAAUUUGAUGUGAAUGUCACCCUUGCCAAAAAUCCAUCAACUUACUGCUGGAGGGGAGGUGCUGCCAUCAGCAGAUCUGCUCACUUCCCAGAAAUGCUGAUCACCAAAAAAGAGUGGGAAGAGGAUGGCUUUAACAUAUGUCAGGAAAGAUUUAGCGUUUGAAUCAUCUAUAUACUGCAGUGGAUUCAUCUAGAGAAGGCUUCUGUUUUGCUGAUCAAGAACGCCUGUACACAACAAAUAAUUGUGUCCAUCAUUUGGAAUCAACUGAUCAACUCAAAGAUUGCUAUGAAAGGCAAGUUAAAUUUCUUUGACAUGGACUUCCAAGAAGCUGUCUCUUAACUGGAAAUGGAUGAAGUGGAUAUUUUCGAUACUGUGGUAUCUACCAAAAUGUUGUUGUGGCAUGUUCAAUCAAGUUCUGGGAGUGCUAAGUGGUAAUUCAAAAUACACAACUGCUGUGUAAUGGCAAAUUGUUGUAUAUAGUGCAAUAGUGUUGUAUAGUACAAAAGUGUUGUAUAGUGCAGGAGAGUGUUAGAAUAGUGUCGGGACAGGACAGGGCCCACACCGGACACAGGUAGGACAGCGAUCAGCAGCCAGGUAGCGGCGGCCGGACUCACUCACGAUACUCACAAGUCGCACUCUAAACUUGGUCCUCACGCAACCAUUGUCACGCCUGCUUUCAAAUGAUGCCUAAGGUGCUUUCACGGCUGUUUAAGUCCUAAUAAAAUUGAAGAGAGUCAAGAUGGGGCCGCGAUGAAGCGGUGAGAACAUCAACACGGGGCUGUGUUCUCAUCGCUAGGGUUAAUUACAUCAUCAGAGUAGCCUGAAACCUGCAUCAAAUCUGAGAGUAGUGAAGAAAAAAGAGUUUCUGCCAAUCAAAUGAAUAAAAAAAUUAAGGGCAGAACUUAACAAAAAGAAUCAUGAAGCUACUUGUAAAUAAACAAGGGCAAUCAAAUGUAAAACUUUGCAACAAGAAACAUAUACACAGCUUCUAACAAGGAGAAGUGCAGAGGGAGGUUGUGAUGGAAGUGAUGAGAGCUGGGCUAAUAAAGCCACUAACCCUCAUGCUAAGAAAGUGCACAAAAAUAAAAAGAUGAAUUAUUUAUUGCGAUAAAAAACAGACUGAUAGAGAGCCUUAGAGAAUAAACUAUAUCCUAACACAUGUUCUUUCCUAGACAAAGUGACUUGACCUGUACUUGAAAUAUUUCAUAAUUAUUGCAACUCUUUUGCACCAGGCUUAU
rnacentral:misc_RNA from 1 species